CCCUUAGAUGUUCUGGGCGGCCCGCGCACUACAUUGGCACUAGCAAAGAGAUCCUAGAUUGAAUUCUUUGGGGUAUUCUUCUAAAUGGUGUCGUGACUGGGAUAAAUCCUUGUAAUUAUUGGUUUUGAACGAGGAAUUCCUCGUAAUCGCGGUUUAUCAGCUCGCGUUGAAUGCGUCCCUGCCCUUUGUACACACCGCCCGUCGCUCCUACCGAUGGAUCGUCCGGUGAAGCUCACGGAGUGACUGUUCACGCAACGGUUUACGAAGUGAAAUGGACCUCACGAUUUAGAGGAAGGAGAAGUCGUAACA
rnacentral:rRNA from 1 species